CAAAGUAAACAUGACUUUUUGAAUCUAGCGCCCUCUAGUGGCGCCAUCUAUCGUUAGAAUCUGCUAUCCUGUAUCGAUUUUUCAUGACAUUUCAUCUAUAGGAAGUGAACGAAACGUUUAUGCCGAUGAUUGCCUAUCCCGUAGCAGAGUGCACGAGUGAUUUCAACGUUUUCAAAGUGGACGUGAGGACAUGAAUAACGAUGUAAUCGCGUCUGUAGAAGUCAAAAGUGAAAACAAUGCUGAUUUGUUUUUAUGAUUCCAAGGGUUUGAAGCGUUUGGUGCGCCGUAUUCGACGUGUCCGAAUAUCGCAAAGAUGGAAGUUGGCGACUGUUGCACGAUAAUGCUCCGUCUCAUCGAUCGACGCUUGUGGCCGAUUAUUUGACCAAAAAUCACAUUUUAACAAUCAACCGGGCGAAAAGCUGAAACACUCAGUCGAUUGGUUUUGGGCAUGCACAAAGCUGUAUUAAAGCAGAAGGAGACUAUUUUAAAUAAAAUUAAUGG